rnacentral:rRNA from 1 species
CCUACGGGGUGCAGCAGUGAGGAAUAUUGGUCAAUGGGCUCGAGCCUGAACCAGCCAAGUAGCGUGAAGGAUGACUGCCCUACGGGUUGUAAACUUCUUUUAUAAAGUAAUAAAGUGAGGCACGUGUGCCUUUUUGUAUGUACUUUAUGACUAAGGAUCGGCUAACUCCGUGCCAGAAGCGGCGGUAAUACGGAGGAUCCGAGAGUUAUCCGGAUUUAUUGUGUUUAAAGGGAACGUAGAUGGGUUGUUAAGUCAGUUGUGAUAGUUUGCGGCUCAACCGUAAAAUUGCAAUUGAUACUGGCAGUCUUGAGUACAGUUGAGGUAGGCGGAAUUCGUGGUGUAGCGGUGAAAUGCUUAGAUAUCAGGAAGAAUUCCGAUUGCGAAGGCAGCUUACUAAACUGCCACUGACAUUGAUGCUCGAAAGUGUGGGUAUCAAACAGGAUUAGAUACCCCGGUAGUC